CCCGUAGAUGCAGCAACGCCGCGUGAGUGAUGACGGUCUUCGGAUUGUAAAGCUCUGUCUUCAGGGACGAUAAUGACGGUACCUGAGGAGGAAGCCACGGCUAACUACGUGCCAGCAGCCGCGGUAAUACGUAGGGUGCAAGCGUUAAUCGGAAUUACUGGGCGUAAAGCGUACGCAGGCGGCUUUGCAAGACAGGUGUGAAAUCCCCGGGCUAACCUGGGAACUGCAUUUGUGACUGCAUGGCUAGAGUCUGUCAGAGGGGGGUGGAAUUCCACGUGUAGCAGUGAAAUGCGUAGAGAUGUGGAAGAACACCGAUGGCGAAGGCAGCCCCCUGGGAUGAGACUGACGCUCAAUGUACGAAAGCGUGGGGAGCAAACAGGAUUAGAUACCCUGGUAGUCCACGCCCUAAACGAUGUCUACUAGUUGUCGGAGGGUAACUCCUUCGGUAACGCAGCUAACGCGUGAAGUAGACCGCCUGGGGAGUACGGUCGCAAGACUUA
rnacentral:rRNA from 1 species